GGCCUGACCAGGUCUAGCAGGUACAGGGCCUGGACUCUGCAGGGUCCUGCUUCAUUAGCAGGCCUCCCUGUCUGCCUCUGCCUUCAGACUGUGAACCCCACCAGGCAAAAGGGGCGGCACUCCUCCAGCAGAUUGGGAGCCUUUUCCAGCUCAGAUCAAGAUCAGGAGAUGGAGCUCCGUGUCUCACUGUCUGUCUCCGCUCUGAGCAUGGAGCCUGCUUCAGAUUCUCUCUCUCUAGGGGCGCCUCGGUGGCUCAGUCUGCUAAGUGUCUGCUUUUGGCCGAGGUCAUGAUCCUGGGGUUCUGGGAUCGAGCCCCGCAUCGGGCUCCCUGCUUCAUGGGGAGUCUGCUGUGCUCUCUCUCCC
rnacentral:lncRNA from 1 species